rnacentral:rRNA from 1 species
GACGAACGCUGGCGGCGUGCUUAACACAUGCAAGUCGAACGGAAAGGCCCUGCUUUUGUGGGGUGCUCGAGUGGCGAACGGGUGAGUAACACGUGAGUAACCUGCCCUUGACUUUGGGAUAACUUCAGGAAACUGGGGCUAAUACCGGAUAUGAGCUCCUGCUGCCUGGUGGGGGUUGGAAAGUUUCGGCGGUUGGGGAUGGACUCGCGGCUUAUCAGCUUGUUGGUGGGGUAGUGGCUUACCAAGGCUUUGACGGGUAGCCGGCCUGAGAGGGUGACCGGCCACAUUGGGACUGAGAUACGGCCCAGACUCCUACGGGAGGCAGCAGUGGGGAAUAUUGCACAAUGGGCGGAAGCCUGAUGCAGCAACGCCGCGUGCGGGAUGACGGCCUUCGGGUUGUAAACCGCUUUCGCCUGUGACGAAGCGUGAGUGACGGUAAUGGGUAAAGAAGCACCGGCUAACUACGUG